UACGUAGGCAGCAAGCGUUGUUCGGAAUUACUGGGCGUAAAGGGUGCGUAGGCGGCUUUUUAAGUUUGGUGUGAAAUCUCCCGGCUCAACUGGGAGGGUGCGCCGAAUACUGAGAAGCUAGAGUGUGGGAGAGGAAAGUGGAAUUCCUGGUGUAGCGGUGAAAUGCGUAGAUAUCAGGAGGAACACCGGUGGUGUAGACGGCUAUCUGGACCGUAACUGACGCUGAGGCACGAAAGCGUGGGUAGCAAACAGG
rnacentral:rRNA from 1 species